GAUGAACGCUGGCGGCGUGCCUAAUACAUGCAAGUCGAGCGAACGGACGAGAAGCUUGCUUCUCUGAUGUUAGCGGCGGACGGGUGAGUAACACGUGGAUAACCUACCUAUAAGACUGGGAUAACUUCGGGAAACCGGAGCUAAUACCGGAUAAUAUUUUGAACCGCAUGGUUCAAAAGUGAAAGACGGUCCUGCUGUCACUUAUAGAUGGAUCCGCGCUGCAUUAGCUAGUUGGUAAGGUAACGGCUUACCAAGGCAACGAUGCAUAGCCGACCUGAGAGGGUGGUCGGGCACACUGGAACUGAGACCCGCUCCAGACUCCUACGAGAGGCCGCAGUAGGGAAUCUUCCGCAAUCGGCCAAAGCCUUACGGAACAACGCCGCGUGCGUUGUUACGGUCUUCUGAUCGUAAAACUCUCUUAUUAGGGAAGAACAUAUGUGUAAGUAACUGUGCACAUCUUGACGGUACCUAAUCAGAAAGCCACGGCUAACUACGUG
rnacentral:rRNA from 1 species